GCGACUUUUUGCCGCCGCAAAUAAUUCUGCUGGAUAAAUACUAAAAUACAAACUUAGAGUACUUGCGGCGAUGAUGAACCGCUACAAAUAGUUUCAAGAUAACAAGUACUUUUCCCCCAUUAUUUCUUUCUUCCCCAGCCCGGUCCUCUGUCUCUCUCACUCUCGACCAAGUUUGACAGAGGACCAGCUCCUUGAUUAGGGUUCAGCGAGUGAACAGUUAAAAUCCUAUAUGGAUUUGGACGAGAACCAGCAACUCAAACAGGUUUGUUGAGUUACAUCUUAUGCUUUUCAUAAAUAAGCCAUGCCAUCGCAACUGAGGGAAGCGGGUCUGAGUAGGUGGGAAGUGGGGGAAGUUAGAGUUGCAUUAAUUAAGGAAAACUCAUCUGCUAGUGGAAAGCCUUAUUAUUGGAUAAUGUAUGAGCAUUCUAUGAACCAAAAGAUGCUGAGGCAGGAGCAAUUGACAGGGGAAUACCAUAAGAUUGCAUGCAGAUAUAAACUUUUUAGAGAACCUUCUCCUAUCAAUUUCUUUGAUCUAUGCAAUUAAUAUGUUAUCUUAGUUUCUUAUUUGUUGUAAUUAAUAUUAAUAUGUGAUCUUAAGUUGGUGAAAUUGUUUCCCCAGCUGUUAUGUUGUAACGACCAAAUUCUUUGUCUAGAACAGAUUUUUUCUAUAAAGAUGUAAUUUGUUUAAACUUUUUGCUUGUGUAAUUGUGUUUUUUGGUUGAAAUAUAAUGAAUGAUUGUGUGUUUUUUGUGUA